UUGCAGGAUACUUCAAAUCUAAACUGCAGC
rnacentral:piRNA from 1 species